AUGCUACAACCGCACGGAGCAGGUUUUUAAAAGCAGUUGCCGCUGGCAAUUCACCUGUGAUAGGCGAGUCUUAGUC
rnacentral:sRNA from 1 species